UGGGGAAUUUUUCGCAAUGGGGGAAACCCUGACGAAGCAACGCCGCGUGGAGGAUGAAGGCCUUCGGGUCGUAAACUCCUGUCGACCGGGACGAACGUAGUCGGGUCCAAUACACCCGGCUAUCGACUGUACCGGUGGAGGAAGCCACGGCUAACUCUGUGCCAGCAGCCGCGGUAAUACAGAGGUGGCAAGCGUUGUUCGGAAUUACUGGGCGUAAAGGGCGCGUAGGCGGUUCGUUAAGUCCUGUGUGAAAUCCCCCGGCUCAACUGGGGAACUGCACAGGAAACUAGCGGGCUUGAGUUCGGGAGAGGGAAGCGGAAUUCCGGGUGUAGCGGUGAAAUGCGUAGAUAUCCGGAGGAACACCGGUGGCGAAGGCGGCUUCCUGGACCGACACUGACGCUGAGGCGCGAAAGCUAGGGGAGCAAACGG
rnacentral:rRNA from 1 species